rfam:Felis catus isolate Cinnamon breed Abyssinian chromosome C1, whole genome shotgun sequence.
GCCUGGGUGGCUCAGUUGGUUGAGCGUCUGACUUCGGCUCAGGUCAUGGUCUCACAGUUCGUGGGUUCGAGCCCCACAUCGGGCU